GGUAAAAUGGCCGAGUAGGCAUUAGGCUGUAAAUCUAAGCACAGGGGUUUGAGUCCCCUUUUUACCA
rnacentral:tRNA from 5 species